GACGGGGGGUCCUAGCGUUGUUCGGAAUUAUUGGGCGUAAAGCGUGUGCAGGUGGUUUGGUAAGUUGGAUGUGAAAGCCUCGGGCUUAACUCGAGAAGGGCAUUCAAAACUACCAGACUUGAGUAUGGAAGAGGGUCGUGGAAUUCCGCAUGUAGUGGUGAAAUACGUAGAUAUGCGGAGGAACACCGGUGGCGAAGGCGGCGACCUGGUCCUAUACUGACACUCAUACACGAAAGCGUGGGGAUCAAACAGG
rnacentral:rRNA from 1 species